rnacentral:lncRNA from 1 species
GUUUUACUCAUGUAUUGGUCUACCUUCAUGUCUUGUCAAUUUCAAGAUAUGUGACUGUGUUAUUUUGUUGGAGUUUUGAAUUGCCUUAUUCAGGAUUUGGUUUACAUUGAAGUCUUGACAUUUUAAACAUGCUUGUGUCAUUUUGUUGGCGUCUCAUUGAUGCACACAUCACCUUUCCCAUUAUUCAUAGUUAUCACCUUAAAUCAUAAAUCAGUUACAAAGUUUUAACAAUGAUAGUUGUUAUUCAGGAGCUGUUAUUUUCCGAAAGUUUAUGAAACACAAAC